GCCGCCUUGGCCCUCGGGGGCGCGGAAGAUUUUGGACAUCAUAAGACUACCACCGGCGUUCGAACCGCCGACGCAGCA
rnacentral:tRNA from 1 species